rnacentral:snoRNA from 7 species
AGGACCGAUGAUGAGAUCUGAUGGUGUCUGAGUGUUUCUCGAUGACAUGAACAGAUAUCUGAGGUCAGG